rnacentral:rRNA from 1 species
GACAGAGGGUGCAAACGUUGUUCGGAAUUACUGGGCGUAAAGCGCGUGUAGGCGGCAAUAUAAGUCGGAUGUGAAAUCCCGCGGCUCAACCGUGGAAGUGCACCCGAAACUGUAUCGCUAGAGUCCCGGAGAGGAUGGUGGAAUACUUGGUGUAGAGGUGAAAUUCGUAGAUAUCAAGUGGAACACCGGUGGCGAAGGCGGCCAUCUGGACGGUGACUGACGCUGAGGUGCGAAAGCGUGGGGAGCAAACAGG